rnacentral:rRNA from 1 species
UUUGUUCGGAGAGUUUGAUUCUGGCUCAGGACGAACGCUGGCGGCGUGCUUAACACAUGCAAGUCGAACGGAAAGGCCCUUCGGGGUACUCGAGUGGCGAACGGGUGAGUAACACGUGGGUGAUCUGCCCUGCACUUUGGGAUAAGCCUGGGAAACUGGGUCUAAUACCGAAUAUGACUGCGCACUGCCUGGUGUGUGGUGGAAAGCUUUUGCGGUGUGGGAUGGGCCCGCGGCCUAUCAGCUUGUUGGUGGGGUAAUGGCCUACCAAGGCGACGACGGGUAGCCGGCCUGAGAGGGUGACCGGCCACACUGGGACUGAGAUACGGCCCAGACUCCUACGGGAGGCAGCAGUGGGGAAUAUUGCACAAUGGGCGCAAGCCUGAUGCAGCGACGCCGCGUGAGGGAUGACGGCCUUCGGGUUGUAAACCUCUUUCAAUAGGGACGAAGCGCAAGUGACGGUACCUAUAGAAGAAGGACCGGCCAACUACGUGCCAGCAGCCGCGGUAAUACGUAGGGUCCGAGCGUUGUCCGGAAUUACUGGGCGUAAAGAGCUCGUAGGUGGUUUGUCGCGUUGUUCGUGAAAACUCACAGCUUAACUGUGGGCGUGCGGGCGAUACGGGCAGACUAGAGUACUGCAGGGGAGACUGGAAUUCCUGGUGUAGCGGUGGAAUGCGCAGAUAUCAGGAGGAACACCGGUGGCGAAGGCGGGUCUCUGGGCAGUAACUGACGCUGAGGAGCGAAAGCGUGGGGAGCGAACAGGAUUAGAUACCCUGGUAGUCCACGCCGUAAACGGUGGGUACUAGGUGUGGGUUUCCUUCCUUGGGAUCCGUGCCGUAGCUAACGCAUUAAGUACCCCGCCUGGGGAGUACGGCCGCAAGGCUAAAACUCAAAGAAAUUGACGGGGGCCCGCACAAGCGGCGGAGCAUGUGGAUUAAUUCGAUGCAACGCGAAGAACCUUACCUGGGUUUGACAUGCACAGGACGCCGGCAGAGAUGUCGGUUCCCUUGUGGCCUGUGUGCAGGUGGUGCAUGGCUGUCGUCAGCUCGUGUCGUGAGAUGUUGGGUUAAGUCCCGCAACGAGCGCAACCCUUGUCUCAUGUUGCCAGCACGUUAUGGUGGGGACUCGUGAGAGACUGCCGGGGUCAACUCGGAGGAAGGUGGGGAUGACGUCAAGUCAUCAUGCCCCUUAUGUCCAGGGCUUCACACAUGCUACAAUGGCCGGUACAAAGGGCUGCGAUGCCGUGAGGUGGAGCGAAUCCUUUCAAAGCCGGUCUCAGUUCGGAUCGGGGUCUGCAACUCGACCCCGUGAAGUCGGAGUCGCUAGUAAUCGCAGAUCAGCAACGCUGCGGUGAAUACGUUCCCGGGCCUUGUACACACCGCCCGUCACGUCAUGAAAGUCGGUAACACCCGAAGCCGGUGGCCUAACCCUUGUGGAGGGAGCCGUCGAAGGUGGGAUCGGCGAUUGGGACGAAGUCGUAACAAGGUAGCCGUACCGGAAGGUGCGGCUGGAUCACCUCCUUUCU